UAGACUCAUUGAUUGUGGUGCUUUGAAGAGGGCAAUUGAAAUAGUCUAUACUGCAACAUUGCCUAAAGCAUCAAAACCUUUCAUAUACAUGUCAAUCAUUUUGCCGCCCGAGCAUGUUGAUGUGAAUAUACACCCAACAAAGAGAGAGGUAAGCUUUUUGAAUCAAGAGUUCGUCAUUGAGAAGAUCCAGUCUGUAGUAGGGUCAAAAUUGAGAAGCUCCAAUGAGUCGAGGACAUUCCAGGAACAGACUAUGGAUUUAUCUUCAUCUGGUCCAAUGGCCACAAGUAAAGAUUCCACUAAAGAAUCGUCUCCUUCUGGGAUAAAGUCACAAAAAGUGCCACAUAAAAUGGUACGAACAGAUACUUUGGACCCUUCUGGAUGGCUGCACGCUUACAUGCAAA
rnacentral:misc_RNA from 1 species